GUUUGCGUCAAAUGUUCUGAGUGCGUUCAUGGCAGGACUGGGGAUUAUUGCAUAUUCCAUGUCCCUGUAUUAUCCGUUGGUUUAUCAUGAUUAUUAUCACGGAGCACACCGGCCGUUGGCAUCAGUCAGCUUCGUGAUCCUGUUACAGUUGUUCACCGUGGCAGAGUUGGUGAUCGCCAUCGCAUGUGCCAUGAUCAUCGGCAAGAACCUGUUCCGGUGCUGCAACCUCAACACUGUAUCGCCACAGUGAAUGGACGCUAACGUGGUGAGGGAGCAGUUCCAGCAGGCAAGGGGAACGAUAGUGGUUUAACUGGUCAGAAAGGAAGGAGGAGCAAACAACACGCGAUUGGCUUUCUGUUUGAAGAGACUUGAAGAAAUUGAGCACUUUGUUAUUCUUUGCUGAACCUGAACAGGAAUGUCUAUUGAUGUAAAUGAUCUUUUAAUGUUUAUAACAGAGUCUGGACGAUCAGGGCGCGAGCUCUGUAAAUUGCUUAAAUAUUAA